GUUUGAGUUUUAUUCUAUUUUUUGUAUAUGAGCGUUUUGUUUACAUGUAUAUGUGUGCACCAUGCCUAUGCUUGGUGCCUGUGGAGAUCAGAAGAGAGCAUGGGAUCCCUGGGAAUUGGAGUUAUGGAUGGUUGUGAAACACCACCUGGGUGCUAGGAACCCAACCUGGGUCCUCUGCAAGAGCAGCAAGUGCUCUCAUCUUCUGACCCACCUCUCUAGUCCCCAGAAGACUGUGCAGCGCGGAGGCUGAGGCAACAGGUGGUACUUGGUGAGACUCAUGCUUGGUUUUCUGCAAUUGUGUUUGAAAGAAACAGUAUUUCUUCUACCAGCUCAGAUAAGCUGCAACUGGCCAGCCAUCUUCCUCUUGGAUGCAUGCCCAUGAGUGCCCUUGGUAGGAUGUCUUGGGGCACUCUUGCAUAAGUUCCUAUUAAUCAAAGUGUGCCCAGAGAGUGACCUCCAUGUGUGGUGAUAUUGACAGUUAGCCAGUCCAACCUGAAGAAAUAUUGCAUAGUGUCUGGAGGGAUGUGGAUUCUUUUUGCUGUAGGCCCUUAUGAACAGCCUUGGUGAGAGUGGCAUGGUCUCCAAACUCAGGCCUUCUCCAGGUUGCAAGGUUAGGAGAAGCUGGUUACUCUCUUCCUCAGAUAACCAUACUCUUCUGAUAUAAAACCUCUGCCUAGUGACCUUGAAGUUUACAUUGGUUAACUUCCACGAUGAUAGUGAUGGCUUCUAUAAUAUACUAGAGGACUUGGAGCCAGCUGAGUAUUGCCAGAAAUAGAGGACUGACUUCCCAUGGUAGACUGACACAGGAAUUUUUUUUGAAUAUUAUAUUUUUAUGUGAGUUCUCUGGAAUUUGACAUGGGUACUUCUUAUUUCGCCGUCCUGAGACGUCUCUUCACAGGACCAGGUAACUAAAUGCCGAUUCUGGUGAUAUUUUUGUUUCUCAUUUACAGGCUGGGAAUGCGUUAUUACCCAAAGACAAUAAAGGCAAAGUUCUCCUGAGUAAAUCCACAUUCUUGGAUGCCUGGGAGGUAGGUUCCAACUUCCUUCAAGUGUGCUGCUCAAAGUUAAAAUACAAAUCUUCUCUCAGAUGCUGUUGAGACUCCACCCUGGUAUGGAAAGGCUCAAGUGCUCUGUAUAUAAUUUCAGAAUGCUUAUUCUCUAGUUCCCCCUCUGUCCUGGAAAGUGGUGUCUGUGGAGCUACUUGUGAAAGUCAGAGGGCAGCUACCCAAAGUAGGUUCUUUCCUUCUAUCACAUAGGCUCCAGGAAGAAACUGUGACCAUCUAGCUUGGCAGCAAGGACCUUUACCCACUGAAACAUUUCCCUGGCCCCAUGAAACACUUUCAGGAACAACAACAACAACAAAAAAACCAACCAACCAAACAAACAAAACCUUACUGCAAGUCAGAGGCUCUGAUAGAUACAAGAAGGAUCAAGUAUGUCAGUAAAUGAAAAAUAAAAUAAAAAGGAAGGACAUGACUGCUCUUAGGUAUGCUGGAGGAGAAAGUUUACUCAGAGUAUUCCAAGUUGUAGCCAAAGAUGAGAUUUCACGCGUCAGCUAAACCCUCCUUGCUCGUCCCUGCCUCUAAGCCCUUGCUGUCCCUCCCCCAUCCGUGCAUGAUUUUACUACCUUUCUUCAUGUCAAUUUUUUUUCAGGCUCAAUUUAAACUCUCCUCCCAAUGACUCUCCUGGGCUAAGAUGAUUCCUUCCUCUCCUCCCUCAUCCAUGUACUAAUUGAUGUCAAAUAAGCUGAGGCAGCCUAGCAAGCACAUUGUAUACAUUUACACACACACACACACACACACACACACACACACGUAUAUGUAUAUAUAUAUAUGUAUAUAUAUAUAUAUACACAUGCACAAUAUGAUGUAUAUGUAGUAUAUGUAUAUGCAUAUGUAUACACACAUAUAAACAGAAACUUAGAAUGGAUGAAUAAUUAUAAAUUCACAUUCAAUGUCACUAUCAGGUUGGAUAAUUAUCUUUGGGAAAGUUUAAAACAAGCUCAAUGUAUUUAAGUAAUAAAAAAAUAAACUCCAGAUCCUUGGGUGGAUGUGAUAUGGGUUGGCUGGGUGCCCCUGCCUGGGUCCAUCUGUCUGCAAGGUGAUCCUUACUGUAUGCUUUCAAUCACGGCUAUGUGAGAGGCUGAGGCACAAAGAUCACAUUUCAGAUCCUGCCUGGACUUCAGAGUAACUUCAAGGCCAACCCUUACAAGAUCCUAUUCAAGAUUGGAAAAUGAAGGGGGUUAGGAACUAGAGAUACAGAUUCACGGCAGAUUGCCUGUCUAACACAUAGGAGACCACAGACUCAACCCUUAAUAAGC
rnacentral:lncRNA from 1 species